UGCCAGCAGCCGCGGUAAUACGGAGGGGGUUAGCGUUGUUCGGAAUUACUGGGCGUAAAGCGCACGUAGGCGGACUAGUGCAGUCAGAGGUGAAAUCCCGAGGCUCAACCUCGGAACUGCCUUUGAUACUACUAGUCUAGAGUUCGAGAGAGGUGAGUGGAAUUCCGAGUGUAGAGGUGAAAUUCGUAGAUAUUCGGAGGAACACCAGUGGCGAAGGCGGCUCACUGGAUCGAUACUGACGCUGAGGGGCGAAAGGGGGGGGAGCAAACAGGAUUAGAUA
rnacentral:rRNA from 1 species